UAACGGAGGGGGCUAGCGUUGUUCGGAAUUACUGGGCGUAAAGCGCACGUAGGCGGCUUUGUAAGUUAAGAGGUGAAAGCCCGGGGCUCAACUCCGGAAUUGCCUUUAAGACUGCAUCGCUAGAAUUGUGGAGAGGUAAGUGGAAUUCCGAGUGUAGAGGUGAAAUUCGUAGAUAUUCGGAAGAACACCAGUGGCGAAGGCGACUUACUGGACACAUAUUGACGCUGAGGUGCGAAAGCGUGGGGAGCAAACAGG
rnacentral:rRNA from 1 species